AUUGAACGCUGGCGGCAUGCUUUACACAUGCAAGUCGAACGGCAGCGCGGGCUUCGGCCUGGCGGCGCGUGGCGCACGGGUGAGUAAUGCAUCUGAACGUGCCCCGUAGUGGGGGGUAGCCCGGCGAAAGACGGAUUAAUACCGCACACGACCUGUGGGUGAAAGCGGGGGACCGAAAGGCCUCGCGCUCUUGGAGCGGCCGCUGUGGGAUUUGCGAGUUGGUGGGGUAAAGGCUUACCAAGGCGACGAUCCGUAGCUGGUCUGAGAGGACGACCAGCCACACUGGGACUGGGACACGGCCCAGACUCCUACGGGAGGCAGCAGUGGGGAAUUUUGGACAAUGGGGGCAACCCUGAUCCAGCCAUGGCGCGUGCGGGAAGGAGGCCUUCGGGUUGUAAACCGCUUUUGUUCGGGAAGAAAUCCUUUGGGCUAAUACCGCGGGGGGAUGACGGUACCGGAAGAAUAAGCACCGGCUAACUACGUG
rnacentral:rRNA from 1 species